CCUACGGGAGGCAGCAGUGAGGAAUAUUGGUCAAUGGACGAGAGUCUGAACCAGCAAAGUAGCGUGAAGGAUGACUGCCCUAUGGGUUGUAAACUUCUUUUAUAAAGGAAUAAAACGAGGCACGUGUGCCUUUUUGCAUGUACUUUAUGAAUAAGGAACGGCUAACUCCGUGCCAGCAGCAGCGGUAAUACGGAGGAUCCGAGCGUUAUCCGGAUUUAUUGGGGUUAAAGGGAGCGUAGAGGGGUUGUUAAGUUAGUUGUGAAAGUUUGCGGCUCAACCGUAAAAUUGCAAUUGAUACUGGCAGUCUUGAGUACAGUUGAGGUAGGCGGAAUUCGUGGUGUAGCGGUGAAAUCCUUAGAUAUCACGAAGAACUCUGAUUGCGAAGGCAGCUUACUAAACUGCCACUGACAUUGAUGCUCGAAAGUGUGGGUAUCAAACAGGAUUAGAUACCCGAGUAGUC
rnacentral:rRNA from 1 species